rnacentral:rRNA from 1 species
GAUGAACGCUAGCGGCAGGCUUAACACAUGCAAGUCGAGGGGUAGAGGAAGCUUGCUUCCUUGAGACCGGCGCACGGGUGCGUAACGCGUAUGCAACCUACCUUUUACAGAGGGAUAGCCCAGAGAAAUUUGGAUUAAUACCUCAUAGUAUAUAGUCUUCGCAUGUUGACUAUAUUAAAGUUCCAACGGUAAAAGAUGGGCAUGCGUCCUAUUAGCUAGAUGGUAAGGUAACGGCUUACCAUGGCAACGAUAGGUAGGGGUCCUGAGAGGGAGAUCCCCCACACUGGAACGGAGACACGGACCAGACUCCUACGGGAGGCAGCAGUGAGGAAUAUUGGACAAUGGGCGCAAGCCUGAUCCAGCCAUGCCGCGUGCAGGAAGAAGCAUCUAUGGUGUGUAAACUGCUUUUGUACGGGAAGAAACACUCCCUCGUGAGGGAGCUUGACGGUACCGUAAGAAUAAGGAUCGGCUAACUCCGUGCCAGCAGCCGCAGUAAAAC